GAAGUAAAAGUCGUAACAAGGUUUCCGUAGGUGAACCUGCGGAAGGAUCAUUAUCGAGUUUUGAACGGGUUGUAGCUGGCCUUUAACGAGGUAUGUGCACGCCUGGCUCAUCCACUCUCAACCUCUGUGCACUUUAUGUAAGAAACGGUGUAAGCCAGCUAUUUAAUAGUCGGUAAUAAGCCUUUCUUAUGUUUACUACAAACGCUUCAGUUAUAGAAUGUUUACUGUGUAUAACACAAUUAUAUACAACUUUCAGCAACGGAUCUCUUGGCUCUCGCAUCGAUGAAGAACGCAGCGAAAUGCGAUAAGUAAUGUGAAUUGCAGAAUUCAGUGAAUCAUCGAAUCUUUGAACGCACCUUGCACUCCUUGGUAUUCCGAGGAGUAUGCCUGUUUGAGUCUCAUGGAAUUCUCAACCCCUAAAUUUUGUAAUGAAGUUUAGUGGGCUUGGACUUGGAGGUUGUGUCGGCUUCUAGUCGACUCCUCUGAAAUGCAUUAGCGUGAAUCUUACGGAUCGCCUUCAGUGUGAUAAUUAUCUGCGCUGUGGUGUUGAAGUAUUUAUUAGUUCGUGCUUAUAAUCGUCUCUUACCGAGACAAUUUAUGACAAUCUGAGCUCAAAUCAGGUAGGACUACCCGCUGAACUUAAGCAUAUCAAUAAGCCGGA
rnacentral:rRNA from 1 species